UUGGAUAACUGUGGUAAUUCUAGAGCUAAUACAUGCACUUCGGCUCCGACCCUUUCCCAAGGGGAAGAGCGCAUUUAUCAGCUUCGAAGCCAGCCGGGUCGCAAGGCCCGUCCACCUUUGGUGACUCUGGAUAACUGUUGCGGAUCGCACGGCCCCGAGCCGGCGACGCGUCCAUCAAAUGUCUGCCCUAUCAGACUGUCGAUGGUAAGUGCUAUGCUUACCAUGGUGAUAACGGGUAACGGGGAAUCAGGGUUCGAUUCCGGAAUCGAACCCUGAU
rnacentral:rRNA from 1 species